CGCCUUAUAAUACAGUUCAGUAGCUUCCAGCAAAUACUAGUUUUGUUAAAGGUCAUAAUGUUUUUUUUGCCAGUAUUGUCAGAGGUGUUGAUUCAAGCCUCUCGCCAUCUGUUGAUGACAGUCUGUUCUUCGUUGCCAGGGCUGCAUUCCUGUUUGACCGGGCUGUAACCAUAGCAACAUCAUCGCCACCAUCGCUGUCCUCACCGGAGCUGCUGGUGCUCCCGGCCCUCUGAGGUAGAGUCUUAGUAGAGUGAGGGACGGCCUUCACAGAGAGGGACUCCUGGCUGCUGCUGCUGGUGCUUCCGGCCCUCUGAGGUAGAGUCUUAGUAGACUGAGGGACGGCCUUCACAGAGAGAGACUCCUGGCUGCUGCUGCUCACAUCCUUCAGAGAUAUUUGGAUGGGGAUGGCCCUUCCUCCUCGCUGUCCUCCUCUUCCUCUCCUCCUCCUCCUCUCUCCUUUCUCUUCAUGCAGGUGACGGCUCUGCGGAGUCGCUGGCUGCGGAUCGCCUGCUUCUCCUGUUGCUCCAUGCGGAAGA